UUAAUUGAAGCCAAAAUAGAGGCCUAUCAUUGUUAAUGAUAUUAUUGAAUAUUAAUUCCAAUUAAG
rnacentral:tRNA from 1 species